rnacentral:tRNA from 1 species
AAAGAGUUUAGUUUAAAUUAAAUAAAACAAUAAUUAGUCAAAUUAUAAAUAUAAAUUUUAACUCUUUA